rnacentral:rRNA from 1 species
GAUUAACGCUGGCGGCGUGCCUAACACAUGCAAGUCGAGCGGCAGCGAGUUUUACACUGAAUUCUGGAAGCUUCUAGUUGAAAGAGAAGAUUUAUUCAAGAAUUUUGUGUAAAAUGUCGGCGAGCGGCGGACGGCUGAGUAACGCGUGGGAACGUACCCCAAAGUGAGGGAUAACGCAUCGAAAGGUGUGCUAAUACCGCAUAUGGUCUUCGGAUUAAAGCCUUCGGGCGCUUUGGGAACGGCCUGCGUAAGAUUAGAUAGUUGGUGGGGUAAUGGCCUACCAAGGCGACGAUCGUUAACUGGUUUGAGAGGAUGAUCAGUCAGACUGGAACUGAGACACGGUCCAGACUCCUACGGGAGGCAGCAGUGAGGAAUCUUCCACAAUGGGCGAAAGCCUGAUGGAGCAACGCCGCGUGCAGGAUGAAGGCCUUCGGGUUGUAAACUGCUUUUAUAAGUGAGGAUUAUGACAGUAACUUAUGAAUAAGGAUCGGCUAACUACGUG